rnacentral:rRNA from 1 species
UUCGCCGCCCCUGCCAUGUCGCGGCCCGCCGGCAAGCCCUCGUACGCCGCCGAGCUCGGCGCGGCCAAGAAGGCCGUCGCCCUCGCCGCCCGUCUAUGCCAGACGGUGCAGCAGGAAAUCGUGCAGUCAGACAUUCAAUCCAAGGCGGAUAAGACUCCUGUGACCGUUGCUGAUUAUGGGUCUCAAGUAUUGGUAAGUCUUGUGUUAAAUAUGGAAGUAACUUCUGGUUCCUUUUCUAUGGUGGCUGAGGAGGACUCGGAAGACUUGAGAAAGGAUGGCGCUGAAGAAAUUCUGGAGCGCAUUACUGAUCUUGUAAACAAAACUCUCGUUGAGGAUGGUUCAUACAACAUUGUAUUAUCUAAGGAAGCUAUCCUCUCUGCAAUUGAUACCGGGAUGUCCGAGGGAGGUCCAUCUGGCCGACAUUGGGUUCUAGAUCCAAUUGAUGGGACUAAAGGAUUCGUGAGAGGAGGCCAAUAUGCCAUUGCACUGGCACUGCUUGAUGAGGGCAGAGUUGUCUUGGGUGUGUUGGGAUGUCCAAAUCUUCCUUUUACAUCAGUAAGUAACCUCAGUGGUAGCUCAUCAGGAGAUCAAACUGGGGCCCUCUUUUCAGCUGCAAUCGGUUGUGGUGCUGAAGUACAGUCGUUAGAUGGCUCUCCACCACAAAAGAUCAGUGUUUGUACCAUCGACAAUCCAGCCAAUGCCUCGUUCUUUGAAUCCUAUGAAGGAGCACACUCGAUGCGUGAUUUUACUGGCUCUGUAGCGGAGAAACUUGGUGUCCAAGCUCCUCCAGUCAGAAUAGAUAGCCAAGCAAAAUAUGGUGCGCUGGCCCGUGGAGAUGGUGCCAUUUACUGGCGUUUUCCACACGAGGGUUAUAGAGAAACGAUAUGGGAUCAUGCAGCCGGCUCAAUUGUCGUCACAGAAGCCGGAGGUGUAGUUAAAGAUGCCUCAGGAAACGAUCUCGAUUUCUCGAAAGGCAGAUAUCUUGAUCGUGACACAGGCAUCAUUGCUACAAAUAAACAGUUGAUGCCAUCAGUCCUGAAGUCUGUCCAGGAGGCAAUCAAGGAGAAAAAACAAGCCUCUUCCCCAUUGUAG